rnacentral:rRNA from 1 species
AGCUCGUGUCGUGAGAUGUUGGGUUAAGUCCCGCAACGAGCGCAACCCUCGACCUUAGUUGCCAGCAUUCAGUUGGGCACUCUAAGGUGACUGCCGGCUAAAAGUCGGAGGAAGGUGGGGAUGACGUCAAAUCAUCAUGCCCCUUAUGACCUGGGCUACACACGUGCUACAAUGGGCGGUACAAAGGGUCGCGAACCCGCAGGGGGAGCCAAUCCCAAAAAGCCGCUCUCAGUUCGGAUUGCAGGCUGCAACUCGCCUGCAUGAAGCCGGAAUCGCUAGUAAUCGCGGAUCAGCAUGCCGCGGUGAAUACGUUCCCGGGCCUU